rnacentral:lncRNA from 1 species
GGGCGCCGGCGGCCGCGGCUGCCGUUCCGGGAGCUCGUUUGCAUCCGCCAGCGCGGCGAGCGGCGCGGGGCCCUCGGAGCAGGAGCCAAGAAGCCCCUAUCCCCACGGCGGCUGCGGCGACCACCUGAGGGCCGACGCCCAGGCUGCAGUCAGGACCAUGAGGGCCGGCUUCUCCCGGGUCCCCCAAGGGCCGAGGAUGGCCGUCCAGCCCACUUCCCGCAGCCCCCCUCGGACCACAGCAUCCUCCUA